UACAGAGGUCUCAAGCGUUGUUCGGAUUCAUUGGGCGUAAAGGGUGCGUAGGUGGUGGGGUAAGUCGGAUGUGAAAUCCCGGGGCUUAACUCCGAAACUGCAUUCGAUACUGCCGUGCUUGAGGACUGGAGAGGAGACUGGAAUUCAUGGUGUAGCAGUGAAAUGCGUAGAGAUCAUGAGGAAGACCAGUGGCGAAGGCGGGUCUCUGGACAGUUCCUGACACUGAGACACGAAGGCCAGGGGAGCAAACGGG
rnacentral:rRNA from 1 species